UUCCAGAAUUCCCUGGCCAGCAAUGCUUCCAGUUAACACCUUAAAGUUGCUGAGGUUGAGGAAAACUAGUCUAAAACUUCCUUCUGAGACAAGCUUAGCUGCAGAAGAGUUCUUUUUAACUUCUAUUAAAACGUCUUUCUAUUCUUUGUCAGGUCUGAAAAAGAGACCCCAACUAGUAAAACUUCUCCAAAGACGGGGUCUGAAAAAGAGAGCCCAACUAGUGAAACUUCUCCAAAGACAGAGGCUUCAGGAACAGAAGAAGAAGGGACUGAAGGCACUUCAAAGAAGGGUAGUUCAGAAGAGGAAGAGGGGGAGGAAGAUGAAGAAGACUAAUCCUAUUUAUCCAGAGCACUGUUUAUUGUUAAAUAUUUUAUUAUUAAAUACAUUAUUUCUCAUGCAUCUUUUUUAUUGUUAUCCUUAUUCUGAGACUUAAAAAUAUUUCUUAAUAGCUGUUAUGUAUUGAUAUUAAGAGUUAAUGUGUUUUAGUUUAAACGUGUCUCCAACCGUUUUGGAGGGAAAAGUUAAGUUCACAUUUGAGCGGGAAAACAACCGUUUGAAUUGAUUGGUCACUGCCUAGAGUGGCAGGUAUAAAUAGCCAUCAUUCUGCCGAUUAAGCCAGUUUGGUUUCUGUUGCAAUAAAUCUUGUUGUAUUAACCCUGUCUGGUUAAUGCCUCCAAAAAAACCCACUACACAAUAGUGGCAAUGAAGAUGGGAUCUGAGGAAAGAGAGAAUGAUGCCUAUUAGAGUUGAAGUCACAGAGUGUUAGCCCAGGCACCAGAGCCCUAUUGGGAUCACGUCUUCACCCUGCCUGCCAUUAAGCCAAACUGGAGGCACAGCGUCCUGUGGCAUCUGUCUCCAGUAUCUAGGCAGUUCAUCUCCUUUCACAGCAAGAGAGGCAGAACCCAGGACU